rnacentral:rRNA from 1 species
AUUGAACGCUGGCGGCAUGCCUUACACAUGCAAGUCGAACGGCAGCACGGGUGCUUGCACCUGGUGGCGAGUGGCGAACGGGUGAGUAAUACAUCGGAACGUACCUUAUCGUGGGGGAUAACGCAGCGAAAGCUGUGCUAAUACCGCAUACGCCCUGAGGGGGAAAGCGGGGGAUCGCAAGACCUCGCGCGAUUAGAGCGGCCAAUGCCUGAUUAGCUUGUUGGUGGGGUAAAAGCCCACCAAGGCGACGAUCAGUAGCUGGUCUGAGAGGACGAUCCGCCACAGUGGGACUGAGACACGGCCCAGACUCCUACGGGAGGCAGCAGUGGGGAAUUUUGGACAAUGGGGGCAACCCUGAUCCAGCAAUGCCGCGUGAGUGAAGAAGGCCUUCGGGUUGUAAAGCUCUUUUGUCAGGGAAGAAACACCGGCUCUAACACAGUCCGGGAAUGACGGUACCUGAAGAAUAAGCACCGGCUAACUACGUGCCAGCCGCCGCGGUAA